UUGAAGUAAAUUUUUUUCCUCAUCUUAAAUAAUAUUAUUUAAAUAAUAAUAAUAGUUAAUAUACGUUUGAUCUAAAAAUUCCUUGUACAUAAUUAUUAUUAUCUUUUACUCUAUUUCAUUAGUUAUCCUUUAUUCUUUCACUAAAAUAUUUAAUAAAAAAUCAUUUAUUUUAUUUUAUUUGCAAACAAUUUUAUUUCAAAUAAAUUUAUCGCGUUUCAAGUUUAAUUAUAUCUUUUUAUUAUUUGUUAUUUUUAUUUCAGAUAAAACCUAUCCACUGGAUGAAUAUUUCACGGUAGACGAAACCGCGAUUGGUGUGUACGGUAAAUUUCUGACCGGAAAAGAAUCCUCGGCGCUUGUGUGCGCGCGCAUCAAGCCGAGGAAUCACAAUGAAUUGCGAGCAAACACGCAUAGUGAGCUGUCGACGGUGUCUGUUAAACGUUACAAUUGUUAUGCGAUAAUAUACGAAUCAGUCGAAGGGAUAAAGUGUUUCCUUUAUUCACCUGUACUGUAAGCGAUAUUUCUACUGGACGACAUACAAGAACUUUCACACGUAAAUGCGCAGCUUUACAGUUACGUUGUUAACUAUACACGCUUGUUUUGCUAUAUGGCGGCUAGCCGCUUGAAGAUGAAAUAUCUCUCAGCUACAGCAAUAUCUUCUCUGAUAUUAAUAUCCUCUCACAUGUUCAAUAAAUAUUCCUAACAAAAAUUUCUCUUGCAAUAUUACAGAGAUACUACUAGCACAUCAAGAAAAAAAUAUCUUUCCCAAAGAACAAAGGCGAAAAAUCUGGGUCUGUAUCCUGCGGUUUUAUUACAAUAUCGUGAACUUGCCAGGUCGCAGCCGUGCUGUGUCUUAGAAUGGUCGAAUAAAUAA